rnacentral:rRNA from 1 species
UACUGCGAAGGGGGGACGGAGAAGGCUAUGUUGGCCGGGCGACGGUUGUCCCGGUUUAAGCGUGUAGGCUGGUUUUCCAGGCAAAUCCGGAAAAUCAAGGCUGAGGCGUGAUGACGAGGCACUACGGUGCUGAAGCAACAAAUGCCCUGCUUCCAGGAAAAGCCUCUAAGCAUCAGGUAACAUCAAAUCGUACCCCAAACCGACACAGGUGGUCAGGUAGAGAAUACCAAGGCGCUUGAGAGAACUCGGGUGAAGGAACUAGGCAAAAUGGUGCCGUAACUUCGGGAGAAGGCACGCUGAUAUGUAGGUGAAGUCCCUUGCGGAUGGAGCUGAAAUCAGUCGAAGAUACCAGCUGGCUGCAACUGUUUAUUAAAAACACAGCACUGUGCAAACACGAAAGUGGACGUAUACGGUGUGACGCCUGCCCGGUGCCGGAAGGUUAAUUGAUGGGGUCAGCGCAAGCGAAGCUCUUGAUCGAAGCCCCGGUAAACGGCGGCCGUAACUAUAACGGUCCUAAGGUAGCGAAAUUCCUUGUCGGGUAAGUUCCGACCUGCACGAAUGGCGUAAUGAUGGCCAGGCUGUCUCCACCCGAGACUCAGUGAAAUUGAACUCGCUGUGAAGAUGCAGUGUACCCGCGGCAAGACGGAAAGACCCCGUGAACCUUUACUAUAGCUUGACACUGAACAUUGAGCCUUGAUGUGUAGGAUAGGUGGGAGGCUUUGAAGUGUGGACGCCAGUCUGCAUGGAGCCGGCCUUGAAAUACCACCCUUUAAUGUUUGAUGUUCUAACGUGGACCCGUGAUCCGGGUUGCGGACAGUGUCUGGUGGGUAGUUUGACUGGGGCGGUCUCCUCCUAAAGAGUAACGGAGGAGCACGAAGGUUGGCUAAUCCUGGUCGGACAUCAGGAGGUUAGUGCAAUGGCAUAAGCCAGCUUGACUGCGAGCGUGACGGCGCGAGCAGGUGCGAAAGCAGGUCAUAGUGAUCCGGUGGUUCUGAAUGGAAGGGCCAUCGCUCAACGGAUAAAAGGUACUCCGGGGAUAACAGGCUGAUACCGCCCAAGAGUUCAUAUCGACGGCGGUGUUUGGCACCUCGAUGUCGGCUCAUCACAUCCUGGGGCUGAAGUAGGUCCCAAGGGUAUGGCUGUUCGCCAUUUAAAGUGGUACGCGAGCUGGGUUUAGAACGUCGUGAGACAGUUCGGUCCCUAUCUGCCGUGGGCGCUGGAGAACUGAGGGGGGCUGCUCCUAGUACGAGAGGACCGGAGUGGACGCAUCACUGGUGUUCGGGUUGUCAUGCCAAUGGCACUGCCCGGUAGCUAAAUGCGGAAGAGAUAAGUGCUGAAAGCAUCUAAGCACGAAACUUGCCCCGAGAUGAGUUCUCCCUGACCCUUUAAGGGUCCUGAAGGAACGUUGAAGACGACGACGUUGAUAGGCCGGGUGUGUAAGCGCAGCGAUGCGUUGAGCUAACCGGUACUAAUGAACCGUGAGGCUUAACCUUACAACGCCGAAGGUGUUU